UACAGGGGGUGCAAGCGUUGUUCGGAAUUAUUGGGCGUAAAGCGCGUGUAGGCGGACCGUUAAGUCUGGUGUGAAAUCCCUCGGCUCAACUGAGGAAGUGCAUUGGAUACUGGCGGCCUUGAGUCCUGGAGAGGGUAGCGGAAUUCCCAGUGUAGAGGUGAAAUUCGUAGAUAUUGGGAGGAACACCGGUGGCGAAGGCGGCUACCUGGACAGUGACUGACGCUGAGACGCGAAAGCAUGGGUAGCAAACAGG
rnacentral:rRNA from 1 species